rnacentral:lncRNA from 1 species
AAAAACAUAUAUGAUAUAAGAGGGUGGUAAAGGGUUAUUUUCGUGCAACGUGAUCGCCGUUUUUUAUUUCACGUUCAACGUGUUUUUACUUUUUAUUUGACGUUCAGUCGUGCAAGACGGGUGCCUCGUUCAACGUGUUCUGCUUAUUUAAUUUUACGUGCAUCGUGAUUUUCAAAGUCUUAUUUUGCGUGCUCGGUAUUUUUCAAAUAAAAUUCAAACACUAGUAGGCAGGGAUCGUCAAGAAAUACUUUUUUAAAAGCCGUAAACCAAUUAUAUCAUAAAUGUGUAUACUAAAUUGGGAAUAUCAAGUAAAACA